GAUCUGUUGUUGGUCUGUGAUUUCAUUAGGCUUUGCAAGAUGGAGAGCAUGAAUAGCUUUUGGCAAUUGGGCGAUGAACUCCGAGGACAAUCAAAGGUCUCUGAGGAUCACAAGUGGCUGAUGGUUGCUUCUAAAUUGGCUGAGCAGACAAGGUCAAAGGGGGAACGGUUCAAUAACCUUGAUCUAUCCAAAGGUCCAUCUGAAAUAAGGCCAAGGGAUAGAAAUGUGUUUCAGGAAGAUAAUAAAUUUGAAAACCUUAACUUCAACAUGUUGAACUUGGAACCCAAAGUGACUGACAACAUGAACAAAAGUAAUUUCAGGAAUGGUCUUUACAACAUGAAUGCAGCAUACCCGAAAAGUAAUGCCAAUGUUAUGGGAAAUGUGAAUGUUAACAAGCAUAAUGGCAAUCACAACAACAAAGAGCUAAGCAGCAAUAGCAAUAACAGUAAUACCAAUAAUGAGAACACCGGUGGCAACAGUGCAAUGGACAAAAGGUUCAAGACCUUGCCUGCUUCAGAGACACUCCCUCGAAAUGAGGUUCUUGGAGGGUACAUCUUUGUGUGUAACAAUGAUACCAUGCAGGAAGAUUUGAAGCGACAACUAUUUGGUAAUAGUGAUUUUCUUGCUUUAUAUUCUCCUCAUUUAACUUAUGUACUUUGCUGGGAACAGUUCAGGCAUUUUACACUCAUUAACUCAUAUAAUAUGUGGGAAGCAGUUUGCCCUUCAAAAAUAUUUUUGCAUUAUUUUCAAUGAAUAUUCUGAGAACAAGAAGAUCUUGAGACCAUGCACUUCUGCCGGAACAUCAAGUAACAGUAGUUAGUUUGAAUGCAUCUUUAUAACACAUCUGUUUCUGAUAUCAAAUUAUAUGGAUAAUGUGAUGUAUUUAUUUUCCUUCAAUAAAUCCUUUUGUGUUGAUUAUCGUGCUCAUUUGUUAGGUCUACCUCCAAGAUAUAGAGACUCUGUUCGGGCUAUAACACCAGGCUUACCUUUGUUUCUCUAUAACUACACUACUCACCAAU
rnacentral:lncRNA from 1 species